rnacentral:snRNA from 1 species
CACCAAGAUUGUCUUUUCUCAAC